GCGAAUGGCUCAUUAAAUCAGUUAUCGUUUAUUUGAUAGUACCUUACUACUUGGAUAACCGUGGUAAUUCUAGAGCUAAUACAUGCUGAAAACCCCAACUUCGGGAGGGGUGUAUUUAUUAGAUAAAAAACCAACGCCCUUCGGGGCUUCUUGGUGAUUCAUGAUAACUUUACGGAUCGCAUGGCCUUGCGCCGGCGACGGUUCAUUCAAAUUUCUGCCCUAUCAACUUUCGAUGGUAAGGUAUUGGCUUACCAUGGUUUCAACGGGUAACGGGGAAUUAGGGUUCGAUUCCGGAGAGGGAGCCUGAGAAACGGCUACCACAUCCAAGGAAGGCAGCAGGCGCGCAAAUUACCCAAUCCCGACACGGGGAGGUAGUGACAAUAAAUACUGAUACAGGGCUCUUUUGGGUCUUGUAAUUGGAAUGAGUACAAUUUAAACCUCUUAACGAGGAACAAUUGGAGGGCAAGUCUGGUGCCAGCAGCCGCGGUAAUUCCAGCUCCAAUAGCGUAUAUUAAAGUUGUUGCAGUUAAAAAGCUCGUAGUUGAACCUUGGGUCUGGCUGGCAGGUCCGCCUCACCGCGUGUACUUGUCCGGCCGGGCCUUCCUUCUGGAGAACCUCAUGCCCUUCACUGGGCGUGUUGGGGACCAGGACUUUUACUUUGAAAAAAUUAGAGUGUUCAAAGCAGGCCUUUGCUCGAAUACGUUAGCAUGGAAUAAUAGAAUAGGACGUGCGGUCCUAUUUUGUUGGUUUCUAGGACCGCCGUAAUGAUUAAUAGGGACAGUCGGGGGCAUCAGUAUUCAAUUGUCAGAGGUGAAAUUCUUGGAUUUAUUGAAGACUAACUACUGCGAAAGCAUUUGCCAAGGAUGUUUUCAUUAAUCAGUGAACGAAAGUUAGGGGAUCGAAGACGAUCAGAUACCGUCGUAGUCUUAACCGUAAACUAUGCCGACUAG
rnacentral:rRNA from 2 species